UUUUUCAGGGGGGUUGAAAACAAAAAUUAAACCUAGAAGCCAUUUUCCCACUCCUACCUGGUUGGUUACUACUAACCCAAGCAGUUAAGUUCUUCUUUGGACCAUCUCAUUCUAAGUCUCCAGAAUAAUCUUGCACAUCAAGUUCCUAGAAUCAUCUAACUACCAAGCCCCAAGGCUAGCUCCUCUCCCGUAAGAGAUGCUAAUACUAUUAUAAAAGUUAGAGCGUUUAUUCAGACUUACUGACACAGGGAACUGGAAGAGAUGGUUCAUAUCUCUAAUUCCUUUCAUUCAAUUUGAUUUUAGAAG
rnacentral:lncRNA from 1 species